CACAUAACAAUAAGACCAGUUAUUUUGGUCGACUGGACAUAAAACAGUUAUAAGGAAUUGGUUUGGCCGCCGACAGCCUUAUGAUUGGUCCAAUAUUUGGCGUUACUGCAUAGCUGGACUUUACACGCGCUUAGCGUUGGAAAGUUAAAGUAACCUAACCCGGGCACCAUGGACCGGGUUUUUUAU
rnacentral:sRNA from 1 species